rnacentral:rRNA from 1 species
GUGAGGAAUAUUGGUCAAUGGACGCAAGUCUGAACCAGCCAUGCCGCGUGCAGGAUGACGGCUCUAUGAGUUGUAAACUGCUUUUGUACGAGGGUAAACGCAGAUACGUGUAUCUGUCUGAAAGUAUCGUACGAAUAAGGAUCGGCUAACUCCGUGCCAGCAGCCGCGGUAAUACGGAGGAUUCAAGCGUUAUCCGGAUUUAUUGGGUUUAAAGGGUGCGUAGGCGGUUUGAUAAGUUAGAGGUGAAAUUUCGGUGCUCAACCCUGAACGUGCCUCUAAUACUGUUGAGCUAGAGAGUAGUUGCGGUAGGCGGAAUGUAUGGUGUAGCGGUGAAAUGCUUAGAGAUCAUACAGAACACCGAUUGCGAAGGCAGCUUACCAAACUAUAUCUGACGUUGAGGCACGAAAGCGUGGGGAGCAAACAGGAUUAGAAACCCUUGUAGUCC